rnacentral:lncRNA from 1 species
AAAAAGUUGGCAUUCCGAUAAAUUGAUGGAGAUCUGCAUCCGCAGCUGUAGAGUGUGCAAAGCAAAAGUUAGAAUUCUGAGGAUAGGAAGCCGGUUAAUUCGCUAUCACCUCUACUGCGUUCUAUCGAGAACAAUAAAGCUUUUGUGUAUCACAGUAACCGCAAUUGUCCAUUGUCAUUAAUGUGUACUCUUAACAGCUCCCUGUCUCGCGCUUCUGUUGAAUGCCUUCGAGUUUCUGCAGAUUCAUUUAAGUCUUUUAAUGACGUUGACGUUUAAUACUGUUUUGCUGCAAUUAACCUUCACUUUCUGUUCUUUAGUGAAAUGAUCCGAAUUCUGAUGCAAUGGCUCUCUUAUAUCGCGUUACCUCCGAUUCCUCCUACGCUGCCUGGAAUGAAGGCAAAUUGCAGCAGUCUUUUGGAGAGAAAGUUUGUACCACUCAGAGCUUGACCCUGAAAAAGACGGUCGUGCAGAUGCUAUAUCUGUCGUUUCUUUAUAACGAUGAGGCGAGCAGGUGGGUGGAGGAACAUUCUCCUCCUCCUCCUCCUCCUGCCAAAAAUUGGUUGGCUUCGUGACGAAUUUGGUCAAACGGACGAGACAGGAAACCAAUAACACCGACGUCACUUCGGCCGAUUACGUCACUUCCGUCAGGUGGGAAAUCAUAAUUAUUAUUAUUAUUAUUAUUUUUUUUUUCCUAAAUGACUUUAUUAAUGUAUUGUUGUAAAAUAAUCCAUUUUUGUGGCGAUGCAGUUAUGCAGAUGACACUUCAAUAGAGUAAGGCUUUGGCACAGAUACUUUGCAACCAUUUGCCCUUUGACAAGAAUACAAAAGAGCAUUCGAUUGUUGUCAUUGCAGGAAAACAAUGCUUCAUCGGCCUGACAAUGCUUCAAAAUGUUGACUUAGUUGGUGGUGUUAGCUGACACCCCGGAGGACGUUUGCCGACCAAAGGUAUCGUCUUUCAGCGCGUGGACUCUAUUGUCUCUAUAGACAAAGCUAUGGGAAAUGAUCAAAUACGAAGCGAUGAUCGAGUGAAUUCAAUCGAAGGGAAAAGUCACACUAUCGUGUAUCCAGUCUAGUCUUUUUACUUUCUCCAUUCUAAAGGUCGAAACUUUCCCACUUUCUUGGAACGAACGAUUGCGCCUUGUACUUUUCAUUCUGUCGAAUUCCCUCUUUGUGAACAAUAGAUUAUUACGUGUUUUUUUUCCUAUGUUUAUUUGAAAGAAGGAUCGAUCUUUUCAUGCCAAUAGUUACGUCCUUGCAUUGGCAUGGAAGGAACGAUGGCCAAAUUGUAACGCAACAACAAGGACGGUGUCUUGUGGGAUAAGGUUGAGUGACAAGUGUCAAGGCAGUGUCACCGUAACUAUUCAGUCUUGGUGCGGGGGUUCUUUCUCACUCCUCUGUCCUGCACCGGGGAAAGAACUUUUGGGCCUCUCAAUGGGGUCACUCGUUACCCCGAUGUGAGCACUUCUUGAAAACUACUCGCACCUGCUUCUUAUAUGUAAUUAACAAAACACUGAUAAUGACCAAAAUAACUUCGCUCCAGAUGUUACAUUUUAUUGCCA